CGCCCUCUGGGAGUGCGGUAGGGGACUUGGAACAACUGGGCUCACAGAAAUUUAUUUUGUUGAACUUCAAAGAAGUAAAUUGGGGGCAUCACCUGUAAUCCCAGCACUUGGGAGGCUGAGGCAAGAGGAUUGCCUAGACCUUCUCUCUCAAAAAAAAAAAAAAAAAAGGUUCCAGUACAUAGCUGGAAGCAUGUGGCAAAGGAAAGCUGCUCACCUCCUGGCAGACCGAGAGGUAAGGGAGGGCUGAGGACAAGACAUACCCUUCUAGUUACACCCCCAGUGACCUACUGCCCCCAACUGGGCUCACCUUUUAACACCCCUUCAGUUAUGAACUCUUCAAUGGGUUAAUCUAUUGAUGAAGUUUUGUGUCCUUGUGAUCCAAUCACCUCUCUAGGCCCCACCUGCUGCCC
rnacentral:lncRNA from 1 species